rnacentral:rRNA from 1 species
GACGAACGCUGGCGGCGUGCUUAACACAUGCAAGUCGAACGGUGAAGCCCUUCGGGGUGGAUCAGUGGCGAACGGGUGAGUAACACGUGAGCAACCUGCCCCUGGCUCUGGGACAACCACUGGAAACGGUGGCUAAUACCGGAUACGACCCGCCUCGGCAUCGAGUGUGGGUGGAAAGUUUUUCGGCUGGGGAUGGGCUCGCGGCCUAUCAGCUUGUUGGUGAGGUGAAGGCUCACCAAGGCGACGACGGGUAGCCGGCCUGAGAGGGCGACCGGCCACACUGGGACUGAGACACGGUCCAGACUCCUACGGGAGGCAGCAGUGGGGAAUAUUGCACAAUGGGCGAAAGCCUGAUGCAGCGACGCCGCGUGAGGGAUGACGGCCUUCGGGUUGUAAACCUCUUUCAGCUCCGAAGAAGCGAAAGUGACGGUAGGAGCAGAAGAAGCACCGGCUAACUACGUG